rnacentral:lncRNA from 1 species
GUCGAUGAUUGCUAAGCGUCGCCGAGUUGGGAGUGUCUUCAGCCCUAAGGCAGCAUCAGAGAUCAUAAUCUUCUGCUCUCGUGGCAAGAAAUUUGUGCGGAUAGAGUUGAUACACCUCACUUGAAGUUGGCCUGGAGAAAAGAGGCGUCGGACUCCUGGACGGGGUUGGGAAACGGUCACCAGUUUCGGCUCAAAGCAGCCUGUUUCCAGGAGACCGCCAUGGUCGAGGCAGCGUCCUGGUCCCACGGUGCGGGGCCGGACGAUCAUUUAUGGGAUAUAAAUAAAAGGACUAUGAGGUGGUAAAUAAAAGACUACCAACUAGAAGCCAUAGGGAGUCAUUUGAAGGAGAAAUAGGCACGGCUCAUCUGUGGUUGAGGGAAAGGGAUCUUGAAAGAUGAUUAGGAGAACUUGGGUUCUGGGGAAAGUGCGGGAAGACAUUCUGGCAGAGAAGCAAACGUGAGGAAAGGUAAGAAGGCAAGAAUCUCCCAUUACAAAGGGUUUGGUGAAACCCUUUGCCUGUCCUUUUCGCUCCCUUCGGGAGCAGUCGGCAAUAAGCUGGAAGGGUAAUGGGGUGAAAAUGCCCGUGGUCAGUUCCCUGGCUCUGCGACUCACUAGAUGUCUGACAAUAAACAAGUUACUUAGCUUCUGGGAGUCUGUUUUCCCGAUUGUGAAAUGGGGAUACUAUAUUUGUUCUAGAGAUAUAAAAUAUUAGGGUUUGCUUGCGACCGUUAAUAUCAAGAUGUGUUCAGAUGUACGAAGGGAAUGGAUAUCUGUUGGGUACACUUGAUGUGAGUGAUUUUUUUUUUUUUUUGAGACGGGGAUCUUGCCGUGUUGCCCAAGCUGGUCUGGAACUCCUGGGCUCAAGCAAUCCUCCCACCACAGCCUCCCCAAGUGCUGGGAUUACAGGCAUGAGCCACCACACCAAGACGAUAGUUUUGCUCUUGUUGCCCAGGCUGGAGUACAAUGGCGCAACCUCGGCUCACCACAACCUCCGCUUCCCAGGUUCAAGCGAUUCUCCUGCCUCAGCCUCCUGAGUCGCUGGGAUUACAGGAAUGUGCCACCAUGCCCGGCUAGUUUUGUAUUUUUAUUAGAGACUGGGUUUCUCCAUGUUGGUCAGGCUGGUCUCGAACUCCUGAUCUCAGGUGAUCCACCUGCCUCGGCCACCCAAAGUGCUGGGAUUACAGGCAUGAGCUACCAUGCCCAGAGAAUUCCAGGUAAUUCUCAUGGUGAAUGAAUUCCAUUCAUACUGUUGUUCUUCAGUCUGCCAAAUGGAUAUUACAUAACACAUUUGUGUGCCAUGAUGGGCCUUACAUAUAUUGACUCAUGUAAUUCUCACAACUUUAUGAGGUGGUAUUAGUCGCAUUUUCAUUUCAUGAAAUUGAGGCACAAAAAAAUUAGACAUGUUGAAGAUCAUACAUCAUCCCUCACCUGGGCUACAAUAGCCUCUUAACUAAUCUCUGCUUCUCCUCUUGUCCACACAACAGCCAGAGAACCUUUAAAUAUGUUAAGUAUGUCAAGCCUCUGCUCAAACUGAGUUUUUCCUGUCACACUUCAGUGUGGCCUAUAGGCCCUAAGUGAUGUAGCCUUUGCUUAUAUUGUCUUCCACUCUCAUCCUUGUUCACAGAGCUCUAGCAAUUCUCAUGUUUGGAGGUCCUCAAGGCAAAACUCAGCUUUAUUUCCCAUUCCCUUAGUAUGGAAAGCUAUUUCCCUAUCUGUGUGUCUUGCUUUUACAUCAUUGCUCUGCUCUCCUCAAAAACCUUCCCCUCUUAUCCCCAUCACCGUCCUCAUUUUGAUUCUUCAUAUACAUUUAUCCUUUCCUGAUUUUAUACUGUUUACCUUUUUAUGGUUUGUUUUCCCCUCUAAAACAUAAGUUCCAUCUGGACAAGGGCUUUGCUCAGUCCUAUUUUCCUAGGCCCUAGAAUCAAACCAGUAUUGGGUGAAUGGAUACUGAAUGAAGCUUUACCUAAGUGCUUUGUCUUUUACUUAGUUUCAGUGGUUAAAUCUCAGAAAGCUUAACAGCAAUUCUAAGCAUGUCUUUAUCAUAAAAGGUUAAAAACUGUAUUAUUGGGAUAUUUUUUCUCUUUUUAUGUUUACCUACAAGCCCGUAGAAAGUAUAAAUACUCAAAAGAUAGCAGACCAGGUAGGCUUAAGUUACUUUUACAAAACAGUAGAAAUACCUUCAAAUAUUUAGCACUGAUGAACUUACUACUGAGGACAUGUGGACUCUACUAAGAAACUAAUGAUGAAAUUCAUAAUUGGGUGUGGUAGCACAUGCACCCAGCUACUCGAGAGGCUGCAGCUUGAGUCCAGGAGUUCAAGGCUGCAGGGAGCCAUAAUCAUGCCACUGCACUCCAGCCUGGGAGACAGUGAGAACUUGGCUCUUAAAAAAAAAAAGGAAAAAAAAUUGAUAACGACAAUUUGUAAUGGUCAGUCCUAUCCACCAGUCUAAAUGAAAGUUUAAAAAUUUUCAUAUACUGCACAGAAGUAGAUGGAGUCUUAAUGCUAGGUAAGGGUAAACAAGCUGAAAUAGCAGUCAGUGACUUCAGAGACCAUGAAACCAAAGUUAAUCUUCUAAGUCCUUUUAAUUGUUCUUAUAAACUAGCAUAAGAUAUAAACUUAAGUAGUACACAUGAGUUUUAUAAUUUACUAAUCUCUGACAGAUAGCUAAGCAUAGCACAUCAGAGCAUAACACAGUGUGAGGGAAAUAAAGUGUACAAUGACAUCUUCUAUUCUGGACCUAAUAAUUCAAUAGAGAAAGAACUACUUGUAGUCACUGUGGUUACAGAAGGUUUCAUGGACAGCGAACAUAAAGCUCUACUAGCUAACAAAUAGGUCUUAAUGAUAAAAACGUGGGCCUUCAGAGAACUAAAGGUACCAAUGUGUGGCAGUCCAAAAUUACGAGGAAAAUGAGUUCCCUUCAUGGGUCACAUCAGCAAUUUUUUUUUUCCCCUUUUGAGACAGAGUCUUGCUCUGCUGCCCAGGUUGGAGUGCAGUGGCAUGAUCUAGGCUCACUGCAACCUCCGCCUCCCGGGUUCAAGCAAUUCUCAUGCCUCAGCCUCCCGAGUAGCUGGGAUUACAGGUGCCUGUCAUCACGGCUGGCUACUUUUUGUAUUUUUAGUAGAGACAGGGUUUCACCAUGUUGGCCAGGCUGGUCUCAAACUCCUGACCUCAAGUGAUCUGCUUGCUUCAGCCUCCCGAAGUGCUGUGAUCGUAGGUGUGAGCCACUGUGCCCAGCUACCUCAUCAAUUCUUAAUCUAUAAACCAUGGAUAGGCUUCGGGAGAACCCAAGAACCAAUGAAAUCUGUUGGUAAGUUUUAUGUGUGCGGUUUUCUACAGAGAGGGUCAACAGCAUGUAUAUUUUCAAAGAAGUCUGUGGUGCAAAAGAGAGUUUAUUGUUAGAAGUCCUUGGGCAAUCAACUUGGAAAAGGGUGGAUUGAGAAUGGGGGCUGUCUAGAUCAGGAUAAUGUUGAAUUUGACCCUCACUUGAGGCUUUUGUACAGAGGAUGAGAAGACGGUAAAUUCAAGGGUUAAUCAGAAAUUAACACCAACAUGACUUGGUGAUGAGUGAGAUGUGAAACGUGAGAAAAACAUCAAUGAUGAAAUCAAGCUUCUGACUUGCAACAGUGAGUAUACCAAGAGCUACAGGCUUGGAAGAUGAAUAAAGUUGGGAGCAUUCUGUUUUUUCAUGAGUGCCCAUGGGACAGACAGGGAGAAAUGGACAGUUGAAAGUACAAGUCUAGACAGGCACAGUGGCUCAUGUCUGUAACCCUAGCACUUUGGGAGGCUGAGAUAGGAGAAUUACUAGGGUUCAGGAGUUUGAGACGAACCUGGGUGACAUAGUGAGAGCUCAUCUCUACAAAAAAUAAAAUUAGCUCGGCAUGGUGCUGCAAGAUUAUAGUCCCUGUUAGUCGAGAGGCUGAGGUGGGAGAACUGCUUGAGCCCAGGAGGGAAAGCAGCAGUGAACUGAGAUCACGCCACUGCACUCCAGCCUGGGCGACAGUGAGACCCUGUCUCAAAAAAAAAAAAAAAAAUGCAAGUCUGGAGAAAUAUAGCUGGGAGUCAGUAAUGCCAGUUUUAGCUGAGGGAGUUAAGAUCAUUUAAUCAGUGUUAAGGAAGAAACUCAAUAGUAGUGACCACCAAUACUUAAGGAAAAAGGAUAAAGUAAGAGGAAUGAUAAAGGCUGGCUGA